UACGUAGGGGGCAAGCGUUGUCCGGAUUUAUUGGGCGUAAAGAGCGUGUAGGCGGCUAGGUAGGUCCGUUGUGAAAACUCGAGGCUCAACCUCGAGACGCCGGUGGAAACCAUCUAGCUAGAGUCCGGAGGAGGAGAGUGGAAUUCCUGGUGUAGCGGUGAAAUGCGCAGAUAUCAGGAAGAACACCCGUGGCGAAGGCGGCUCUCUGGUACGUGACUGACGCUGAGACGCGAAAGCGUGGGGAGCGAACAGG
rnacentral:rRNA from 1 species